rfam:Schistosoma haematobium scaffold481_2, whole genome shotgun sequence.
AUCCAGCUGACGAGUCCCAAGUAGGAUAAGACACGCGUCCAGGAU